AUUGAACGCUGGCGGCAUGCCUUACACAUGCAAGUCGAACGGCAGCACGGGGCAACCUGGUGGCGAGUGGCGAACGGGUGAGUAAUGCAUCGGAACGUACCUUUCAGUGGGGGAUAACGUAGCGAAAGUUACGCUAAUACCGCAUAUUCUGUGAGCAGGAAAGCAGGGGAUCGCAAGACCUUGCGCUGAUUGAGCGGCCGAUGUCAGAUUAGCUAGUUGGUGAGGUAAAGGCUCACCAAGGCGACGAUCUGUAGCGGGUCUGAGAGGAUGAUCCGGCACACUGGAACUGAGACCCGGUCCAGACUCCUACGGGAGGCAGCAGUGGGGAAUUUUGGACAAUGGGGGCAACCCUGAUCCAGCCAUGCCGCGUGAGUGAAGAAGGCCUUCGGGUUGUAAAGCUCUUUCGGCCGGGAAGAAAUCGCACGGGCUAAUACCCUGUGUGGAUGACGGUACCGGAAUAAGAAGCACCGGCUAACUACGUGCCAGCCGCCGCUGUAACAC
rnacentral:rRNA from 1 species